UACGGGGGGGGGCAAGCGUUGUUCGGAAUUACUGGGCGUAAAGGGCUCGUAGGUGGCCAACUAAGUCAGAUGUGAAAUACCGUGGCUUAACCACGGGGCUGCAUCUGAAACUGUAUUUCUUGAGUGUCGGAGAGGAAAGUGGAAUUCCCAGUGUAGCGGUGAAGUGCGUAGAUAUUGGGAGGAACACCAGUGGCGAAGGCGACUUUCUGGACGAUAACUGACGCUGAGGCGCGAAAGCGUGGGGAGCAA
rnacentral:rRNA from 1 species